rnacentral:rRNA from 1 species
ACUUGAAAACUAAACCUUGAUUAGUAGGAGUUAUAUUCUGAAACUUAAAAAGUUUGGCGGCUUUUAAUAAACUCAGGGGAAUUUGUAUCAUUAUCGUCACUACGCGCUAUACCUUACUUAGCUGUAGUUUGUAUACCGCCGUCUAAAUAAUCUCCAAACAGAUUAAUUACAAUUAGCUAUAAAAACGUCAGGCCAUGGUGCAACAUAGCUAAGAUGAUUACAAAUUACAAUUUAUAUACAAUCUAGAGUUAAA